UUCACUACUUUUGAUUUAUCUUCUAUCUUCAAGAAAUAUUUUGAUGCUCAGACAUGGAACACAAAGUUCAUAUCUGCAUCAGAAUCUACUAGCAUUCACAUCAUUGCUCAUUCUGCUUCUAUCAGCAUUCAUAUAUUCAUCAUCAAUAACUGUUUAUCUUGCAGUCUAAUUGUUCAUAUUCUCAAUGCAGCAGCUGUCUGUACAAUUGAGAUUGUUGAUUUUUUGCUUAUCAGACUUGAUUGCACUUUUCAGAGUGUAAUAUUCAAUAAUCAUUUGCAAUAUAACUCUUCUUAUGACAAUCUGUCUUUGCAAAUGACACACUGUUGCUUCAGCAUAUUUUUCUUGAGAGUCUGUAGAGUUCAAAGCAACUCUUCAUAGUUCUGAGAUUCUUGAUUUCAAUGAUUAAAUUCAGUGUAUAAUAUCUUCAAUAUUUUACUACACAAGUUAUCCAUUCUUUGUUCUUCACUAUAUGAGGAUGUGAUAGUAUAUCAUUGAAAGUCAAUGAUGUUGCUCCUUCAUGUCUCUUAUAUGAUGAUACAAAAUUCAAUCAUUUCUGCUUAAUAUGGGCAUCAAGAUACAGUAUAACAUCAUUUAUCUUGUAUUCUUUCUUUCAAUAAUAUCAGCAG
rnacentral:sRNA from 1 species